rnacentral:rRNA from 1 species
GGGCGUAAGGGCUCGCAGGCGGUUUCUUAAGUCUGAUGUGAAAGCCCCCGGCUCAACCGGGGAGGGUCAUUGGAAACUGGGAAACUUGAGUGCAGAAGAGGAGAGUGGAAUUCCACGUGUAGCGGUGAAAUGCGUAGAGAUGUGGAGGAACACCAGUGGCGAAGGCGACUCUCUGGUCUGUAACUGACGCUGAGGAGCGAAAGCGUGGGGAGCGAACAGGAUUAGAUACCCUGGUAGUCCACGCCGUAAACGAUGAGUGCUAAGUGUUAGGGGGUUUCCGCCCCUUAGUGCUGCAGCUAACGCAUUAAGCACUCCGCCUGGGGAGUACGGUCGCAAGACUGAAACUCAAAGGAAUUGACGGGGGCCCGCACAAGCGGUGGAGCAUGUGGUUUAAUUCGAAGCAACGCGAAGAACCUUACCAGGUCUUGACAUCCUCUGACAACCCUAGAGAUAGGGCUUUCCCUUCGGGGACAGAGUGACAGGUGGUGCAUGGUUGUCGUCAGCUCGUGUCGUGAGAUGUUGGGUUAAGUCCCGCAA